rnacentral:lncRNA from 1 species
UGGAUAAAUCAUUGUCCCCAUGACUGUUCUUUAAUCAAAAGCAAUUUAGGAAUCGAUCAUAUAUGUCUCUAAUUCUCAAUAUUUGAGAAUAUGUAUCGUAAUAUCAAUUUCAAAGAUGAUUCAAAGAUACAUAGUACUUGAAUGAAAAAAAAUAUCUUUUAUUGAUUAAAUCAUCAGUUUAAGUACAAAUUUAUAUUAUAGAAUAAAAAUAUGUC